UCUUUGGAAAUCGGACGAAAUGCCGUGCCAUAGAAGGUAAAAGCCCAGUAAAAAAGAAUAUUUUUUCUUUUUUUUGUACAUUGAGAACCUAUCUUGAUGGAAGGGGGAACCAACCUCCAGCCUAAGUCAGUUUAUUCGACCGAUAGUGAACAAGUACCGUGAGGGAAAGGUGAAAUAGAACCCAGAUAUGGGAGUGAAAAAGAUUCUUGAAAUUCAUGACUGACAAAAAGUUCGAGCAAACUUAUAUUUUUGUGAUUGAUGCAUGAGGCAUGAGGCAUGAGGCAUGAUUAAUCAUCAUAAUCAUCAUAAUCAUCAUCAUAAUAGCAUUUUAUAAGAGUUGUUAGAGCCUUCCUUUUGCAUAAUGAGUCAACGAGUCUAUGAAAAAAGCUAGCUUAAAAAAGAAGGCGAAGCGAAAGCAAGUUCGAAGAGAGCGAGGAUAUACCAAAAGUUUUUUUCAUAGGACCCGAAACUAAGUGAUCUACCCAAGACCAGGUUGAAGAAUGGUCGAGAGGCCUUUGGAGGACCGAACCCAUGUCUGUUGCAAAAGGCAGGGAUGAGUUUUGGGUAGGGGUGAAAGGCCAAUCAAACUUAGAGAUAGCUGGUUUUCUGCGAAAUCUAUUGAGGUAGAGCGUUUUUUAGAAGUAAUUAAACUAUAUGUAUGCUGUUGCUUUGCAUCUACAUACAUGUAUUUGAUUCGAGCUCUUUAGGGAGUAGAGCACUCGUUCGACAAGGGUGGCCCAAAGCCUUACCGACUCUUAUGAAACUCCGAACACCUAGAAGAGAAUGAAAAGCAGACAGACAAGAGGUGCAAAGGUCUUUCUGUCGAGAGGGAAACAGCCCAGAUGGUCUGCUAAGGUCCCGAAGCUGAGUCUGAGUGAGAAAAGAAGUGUGUGUUCCUGGACACCUGGGAGGUGGGCUUGGAAGCAGCCAUCCUUUCAAGAAAGCGUAAGAGCUCACCAGGCGAGAACACAUGCGCUGAAAAUGUAUCGGGACUCAAGACUCACACCGAAGCAACCAAAAAAGUGUAUGAUUACGUAAAUUCAUGCAUUUCUUCGUAGCAGAACGUUCUGUUCCAUAUAAAACCGAAAGGAAUGAUCAGAAGUGAGAAUGUUGACAUGAGUAACGUUAUCUUGUGUCUGAAUCACAAGCGCCGAAAAUCCAAGGUCUUCUCUGUUCCGUUGAGCGGCAGAGAGAAAAGCCGGCCCCUUAGAAAAAUCUGAAAAGAUUCUUUGAUGGGAAAAAAAACGCCUUUUUUUUGUGACAAAAAAGAUUCAAGAUAAGAAGUCAUUGGAUUCUUUUUAUUUUGAUGCUUUUUUUCUGGAAAGAGCAAAAAAAACGUAAUCUUUCAUACCGAAAUGCAUCAUAGAUGCACAUAGGUGCCUUAGGCUAGAGAAAAUCUAUGGGGGUAUAGAGUAUUGCGGUAUUCUGUAUUGCAUCGUGAUUGGCCAAGGUUAAAAUGAAAGAAAAAGACCGUACUGAAGACCGCCUCUGGUGGAUUUGUGAAUUUCACAAAGGCGAUUGAGUGAACCAUCAUGAAGGAACUCGGCAAAAUCGCCUCGUACCUUUGGAAGAUGGGGAGCCAAUAAUAGGAGAAAUAUCGCAACUUUUAGCAUUGAUGCAUCUACGAUGCUGAUAUGAUCUUUAGAGCACAUUUUUGCCUAACAUUGGAAGCAUAAAAGAGGGAGCAACGACUGUUUAGUAAAAACAUAGGACUUCGCAAAAUCUUAAAAUGAUGUAUGAGGUCUGACACCUGCCCGGUGCUGGUAGUCCAAAAGGAGAUGUGUCCGUUCCAAAGAAGAAGAUUCAUUUCCGAAAUGAAAUGUUUUUCUUUUUAGAAUGUCAAGCAUUGAAUGGAAAACCCAGUAAACGGCGGCCAUAACUCUGAUGGUCCUAAGGUAGCGAAAUUCCUUGUCGGGUAAGUUCCGACCUGCAUGAAUGGUGUAACGAUUGCUCCGCUGUCUCCAUGGUGGACUCAGUGAAAUUGAAUUUUCCGUGAAGAUGCGGAAGACUUGCAGUUAGACGGUAAGACCCUAUACACCUUUACUGCAACCUUGCAACAAAGGAAGAAGGCAAUUGUCUAGGAUAGGCGGGAGUUCAGUAUGAUUUAUCAUGUUGAUAAAUCACGUUGAUUUAUCAAACUGAACGCCCUUGGAAUACCGCCCUUUUUCUUUUUUUCUUUUUAUGAGUGAACAUAUUAAAAGAUAUGUUUUUCAGACAUUGCAUGGUGGGUAGUUUGGCUGGGGCGGCAGCCUCCUACAGAGUAACGGAGGCGCGCAAUGGUAAACUCAAACAAGUCAGAUAUUUGUUGGAGAGCGUAAUGGUAAAAGUUUGCUUGACUGCGAGACCGACAAGUCGAGCAGGAACGAAAGUUGGCCAUAGUGAUCCGGGAGUACUUGGUGGAAAGGCUCUCGCUCAACGAAUCAAAGGUACGUUAGGGAUAACAGGCUAAUGACUCCCAAGAGUCCUUAUCGACGGAGUUGUUUGGCACCUCGAUGUCUCCUCUUUACAUCCUGGCGCUGAAGAAGGUGCCAAGGGUUCGGCUGUUCGCCGAUGAAAGUAGCACGUGAGGUGGGUUUAGAACGUCGUGAGACAGUUCGGUCCCUAUCUGCCGUGG
rnacentral:rRNA from 1 species